UACGUAGGGGGGCUAGCGUUGCUCGGAAUCACUGGGCGUAAAGGGUGCGUAGGCGGGUCUUUAAGUCAGGGGUGAAAUCCUGGAGCUCAACUCCAGAACUGCCUUUGAUACUGGAGAUCUUGAGUCCGGGAGAGGUGAGUGGAACUCCGAGUGUAGAGGUGAAAUUCGUAGAUAUUCGCAAGAACACCAGUGGCGAAGGCGGCUCACUGGCCCGGUACUGACGCUGAGGCACGAAAGCGUGGGGAGCAAACAGGG
rnacentral:rRNA from 1 species